CGAGGUGAGAGUCUUCUGGACUCGCCGAAUUGCUCAGUAACACGUAGUUAACUUACUCUUAGGUGGAGGAUAAUCCUGGGAAACUGGGGCUAAUACUCCAUAGGUUUUAGAUACUGGAAUGUGCUAAAGCCAAAAGAUUUAUCGCCUAAGAAUAGGACUGCGGCGUAUUAGGCAGUUGUAAGUGUAAUGUACUUACAAGCCGGUAAUGCGUAGGGGCCAUGAGAGUGGGAGCCCCGAGUUGCACUCUGAGACAUGAGUGCAGAUCCUACGGGAUGCAGCAGUUGCGAAACCUUUCCAAUUCGUUAGCGCGUGAGAAGGGAACCCUGAGUGGGCAUACAUAGUAUGUCCUUUUUUCAAGUCUAAAUCGCUUGUAGAAUAAGUGGUGGGUAAUACAGGUGCCAGCCGCCGCGGUAAUACCUGAGCCACAAAUGGUGAUCACGUUUAUUGGGUUUAAAGUGCCCGUAGGCGGUUUAGCAAGUUCUUGGUGAAAUCUGAUAGCAAACUAUCAGGCAUGCCGGGAAAACUACUAGACUUGGGACCGGGAAAGGACAGGGGUAUUCCAUGGGUAGGGGUUAAAUCCUUUAAUCCAUGGAGGACCACCAGUGGCGAAGGCGCCUGUCUGGAACGGGUCUGACGCUGAGGGACGAAAGCGUGGGGAGCAAAUCUAAUCCUUCGAUCGCAAGAUUGCGAGGAUGAGAGUUCAAAACGGAUUAGAUACCCGUGUAGUCCACGCUGUAAACGUUGUCUGUUUGAUAUUGCAGUUUUUUCGUGAAAUUGCAGUGUCGGAGCGAAAGUGUUAAACAGACUACCUGGGGAGUACGUGCGCAAGCAUGAAACUUAAGGGAAUUGGCGGGGGAGCACACAAGAGGUGGAGACUGUGGUUCAAUUGGAUUCAACGCCGGA
rnacentral:rRNA from 1 species